AACGCACAUUGCGCCCCUUGGUAUUCCGAGGGGCACGCCUGUUCGAGCGUCAUUUAAACAAUCAAGCCCUGCUUGGUCUUGGGCGCGGUCGAGUGACCCGUCCGUAACCCGUUGGCGGUGCAGUCCGGCUUCAAGCGUAGCAAAAAUUUCGCUUCAGGAGUCCGCGGCGGUACCCGCCAGGUAACUUGUAUACCUAAAGUUUGACCUCGGAUCAGGUGAGGAUACCCGCUGAACUUAA
rnacentral:misc_RNA from 1 species